CCGUUUUUUUUUUUGCUCCCGCUUCCUUUUUUUUUUGUUCCCGCUUCCCGCUUCGUUCUCUCAAAUAUUCGGCUAGGUUUUGCACUUCCGCUUAAUUACGUCGCGCCUCCCAUCUCCCGCACCUUCUCGUUUUCUGCCUUCCACUCCAUUCUAGGGUUUGAAGCUGCAGGCUAUCUCACGUCGACCUCCAAAGACCUCUGCUCAUCUUCGUGAUCGGCGUUCUCUUUUGCGUCCACCGGUGCCGCCAGCGACACAACCUUCCGCCACUGCCGUCGUUCUUCAGCCCUGCCCCUCCGCCAGCGCCGCUUGAAUCGCUCCCCUUAUGCCGUUACCGAUUAACCAUAAAUACCAUAGCAGGCUUCAAUCGUUCUGUUCAAUCGAAGCUUCAAUCGCUCCUGUCAUCGUUUUGUUCAGUCAGUAGGCUCAGUCAAAGGUUCAAACCUGCUCAAUCGACGGCUAACCAUGCUCAAUCGAAAGCAAACUCAAAACAACUUAAAAUCGUUCUUCGAAUUCAAGUCACAAGUUCUCCAAGUCACAAAUGAAUUCAACAAAAAAUGAGCUAACAGAAAAAUAGCGACUUCCAGAUUCAGGGUAAGGGAGGUACUUGUUACUUCAAGAGUGAGUAAACGCCAGUCGCCGUCCGAGGGAGUAGUCGCCACCGGAGAAUCCACCACCGAUCAACUUCGUUUAUUCUCCGUGUGUCGAGACUCACAGGUGGUUGUAUCAUGGAGUAUUGGAAACACGUUGCUGCAUUUCAGCCUUGCAAGUGACCUAUGUGCUCCAGUCCAAUUAUCAAAUUGACCCUGGAAGCAACAUUAUCCCAACAGCAGGAUGCAGGGAUCCAUGAUGUUCUCAAGAAUGUUAGGCAGUACAAUUGCCUUUUUGCUGGUGGUGCUUGCAGUUUCAUUCUGGUAGGUUACUUGACUGUUGGCACCAGACAUUGAAGGGGCAAGUGCUUUAGUUGCCUUUAUUUGUCAAGAGAUUGCUUCAAGCAAUGGUGGAUCCUGAUAGACCUGUUGCUUAUCUUAGCAGAUUGCUUUAGUUGCAGUGUUUCUUGGUGCUCUUUAUACACUUAGCCCUUUUGACAUCCUCCCAUGAUGUUGGAGCCUGUGAUCAUCAGCUAUAUACAAUGAUCUUGAUUACAUGCGUUACUAUUUUUCAUAUUUUUGGUGUAUUUUAUAUGGUAUUUUGGACAAAUGUGAAUCUAAUAUGGUAUUUAAUAAAAAAUUGGAAGCUUAUAAUUUUUUAA